ensembl:lncRNA
AGGGCGGGGCCAGGCGGAACCCCCGCGCGCCCAAGAUCCCCUCCCGCGUGGGGGCCGCAGGCGGAAGCUGAGGCCGGAGGUCGCCCGGCUGGCGGGAGCGGGACCUCGAGUAAGACUCUGUAGGCGCCCCUUGGGGCUGGCGUGUGUUGCUCGGGGGCUUGAGGGUCAGGGUCAGCGUGCCCCAGCUUUCUGUGCCAGCUCUGCGCCCCGCGUCGGGUGUGCCUCCGCUAAAGGAGGUUUCCAUCCUGGCCCGGGCUGUUCUUUUCUUGCCCUGCCUCGCCUCCCUUUCCUGAGCAGACCUUCUGGGUUCCGUAAAAGUCGUGAGAGCAGACAGCCAUGGUCAUUAACCCCUCGCUGAAGGGGGGGCGGUGAUGAAGGUUGGAGACACCUGCAAGGGGUGCACCUCGCGCCCCUGCAUCCUCGCGGCUCCGUGAAGACAGUGCUCCCGGGGGCGGCGUCUCACCUGGAAGGUUCUCUGCAGACCAAGGGUUUGGGCAGUUACCCGCCUGGCGAGCCUGGCCUUGCUCGGGGAGAGGUGGCGGGCGCCCUGACCUCUCCCAGGUACUCGGCUCUGAAGAAAAACGGGACAGGAGGUGAGCGGAUGUUGGAUGGACCACCGUCUCGUGGCGUGUUUUGGUUUUACGUUCUUAAACCCAAACCUCCCACCCCGAGCAGCACCCUGUGGUCAAUACCUGUCUCGGGUUGUGGGUCCUUAGGUGAUCCCUGGCCCGCCAGCACCUGGGUCACCGGGCGGAUUCCUCGUGAAUCUCGUUCUCUGAAAGAGAGGCUUGCAGUCAGCAUUGUACAUGCUUCGCUGAUGACGCUGGCUCACCUUCUGAUCAGAACUGAGCUUUCUCUUCCCCAGGCCUCCCUCAGACAGUGUAAAAAAAGUGCGAUUCAGCUGCAUCCCAUAACGGUAUUUUCUGAGCACCUCUACGACGCUCGGCGUAGAAUCUCGAAUACUUUGCUUCCGAACCUCAAAAAAAGAAUAGCCUCAGAGGGGUUAAGAAACUCGCUGAGGUCACUGAGCAGAUAUGGGCCGAGCCAGGAUUUGAACCCAGAUCCAGCCAACACAGAGUCCACAUGCCUUCCACGCUACGGUUCCUGCCCGUGAGGACCCUAAACGUCAGUCAGACCAGCGCGAAAGCAAGUCAUCACAAAGUGACGAGGGAUUCGUUCAUUCUUUCUUUCGUUCGACAAGUAUUCCGUUCGUCCGUUCAGUAUGUUUCCCGAGCACCUGCCGUGUGCUGGGGACUGUGUGCCGGAAGGAGCAGAGGCAGCAAUGACAAGGAGCUGUGGUAGCAUCCAAAGCCCCCUACUGGGGGAGCCUGAAGAGUCGGGUUUGAAUCUUGGCUCUGCCACUUGCUAGCUGGAAGCCAUCAAGCUACUUGACCUUUUCUGACCCAGAGUCUUUUCAUUCCUGAAGACGGAAGACUGGAUGAGAUGGUGGCUAGGGGACCUAGCACUGCGUCUGGCACAUAGUAGGUGUACUGAGUGGAGGAAGGUUAAAUCUGGCGCGUAGUAGGCAUACUGCCAGUGGACGGAGAGAAGGAAGGUUAAAGUCCGCCGGGGGAAGGGAAGGUGCUAGUUUUAUACAAGGAUUGCUCAUUUGCUUGUGUAUUCCUGUUCAAACCCAUGUUCUGCUGGAAUAAGUUCACCAGAGGAUUACAGAGCAAAAGACAGGAUGGUUUCUUAUUUAUUCAUGAAAUGCAUCAGCACCUAGCAAACGCCUGGCUUCAACGAAGUGCUCUGGGAACAUUUCGGAAAUGAACAAACUAAUGAGCUAAUAAGCAUUUAUGGUUGAAUAAAUGAAUGGACGAAAUUAAGUAGGGGGGUGUA